GUGCAGGUGGCUCAGUGGUAGAGUGCUUGCCUUGCAUGCAUGAGGCCCUGGGUUCAAUUCCUCAGUACC
rnacentral:tRNA from 1 species